AAAGUGCAGGACGUGUCCCGUUUUGUAUGUACCCUGACAAUAAGGAUCGGCUAACUCCGUGCCAGCAGCCGCGGUAAUACGGAGGAUCCGAGCGUUAUCCGGAUUUAUUGGGUUUAAAGGGUGCGUAGGUGGUUUGAUAAGUCAGCGGUGAAAGUUUGCAGCUUAACUGUAAAAAUGCCCUUGAAACUGUCGGACUUGAGUGUAAAUGAGGUAGGCGGAAUGCGUGGUGUAGCGGUGAAAUGCAUAGAUUUCACGCAGAACUCCGAUUGCGAAGGCAGCUUACUAAGCUACAACUGACACUGAAGCACGAAAGCGUGGGGAUCAAACAGGAUUAGAUACCCUGGUAGUCCACGCCGUAAACGAUGAUUACUAGCUGUUUGCGAUACACAGUAAGCGGCACAGCGAAAGCGUUAAGUAAUCCACCUGGGGAGUACGCCGGCAACGGUGAAACUCAAA
rnacentral:rRNA from 1 species